AUUACUGAGUAAAUGGGUCUUUUAUAGGUCCAUACUCCCCACCCUUUGUGUACCAAACCAUUUAUUUAGUUGCCUUGGCGGGGUUGCCUUCUAAGUUGGGGAUUAUCCCCUUUGUUAGGCUUAUGGGCUACUGCCAAGGGAACACCCCAUAAACUCUUUAUUGAAUUGGGCUGUCUGAGUUUUUGAAAUUCAAAUGAAUUAAAACUUUCAACAACGGAUCUCUUGGUUCUGGCAUCGAUGAAGAACGCAGCGAAAUGCGAUAAGUAAUGUGAAUUGCAGAAUUUAGUGAAUCAUCGAAUCUUUGAACGCACAUUGCGCCCUUUGGUAUUCCGAGGGGCAUGCCUGUUCGAGCGUCAUUUCAAACCCUCAAGCUCUAGCUUGGUAUUGGGCUUUUGUCCUUUCUAGAAAGGGACAUGCCUAAAACUCAUUGGCAGUGGUACUUAGCUUCUUAGUGUAGUCAUAUCUAUUCCACUCUGAAGUCUUCUAGGUAACUCUAGCUAACCAAAUUUGUAUAUUUCUAUGGUUUGACCUCGGAUCAGGUAGGGAUACCCGCUGAACUUAAGCAUAUCAAUAAGCGGG
rnacentral:rRNA from 1 species